rnacentral:rRNA from 1 species
CCUACGGGAGGCAGCAGUAGGGAAUCUUCCGCAAUGGACGAAAGUCUGACGGAGCAACGCCGCGUGAGCGAAGAAGGUCUUCGGAUCGUAAAGCUCUGUUGUCAGGGAAGAACAAGUACCGUUCGAACAGGGCGGUACCUUGACGGUACCUGACCAGAAAGCCACGGCUAACUACGUGCCAGCAGCCGCGGUAAU